AUGGUGUGGCGGGCAUCCACCCCGCCAUGGCCGCCGAUGCCGCCGCUGUCGUUCAUCCCGCGGUCGAGGGGAUGGAUAAGAGCAUCCCCAGAGCCCCCUCGACCAAACCCUAGGUCACCCAUUCCCCUCCCUCGCUUGCCCCCUUCGUUUUCUUCUUGCCCGAGGCGCUCAUGGCCGCGCCGCCGUCGUACGCGCAGCCACCGCACGCCCCUCGCCGCCUCUCCAUGUCCAGAAGCUCUGCGGGGGUCGACUUCAUCGGCUACAACUCCGAAUCGGAGCUGGGAGGCCGCCACCCCGUCGUCGACUGCAUCUUCUUCCCCAACUACGACCGCCACUGAAACUCCGUCGAUUUGCACUGCUCCGCCCCGUCCAAGGCCUCCCAGACCACACCUCCGAGUUCGCGGUGAGCUCAUCCCUCGAAUCCUCCUUUUUCCCCUUCGAUUUGAACAACGUAGGGCGCCGUCACCGUCGUGUCCGAACUCGCGCGUACGCGUACAUGCGUGCAGUUGCUGCUCUGCUUCGUUGCGCUGUUGCUGUUGCCAUCUGAUGCUGCUCUACUACUGUUGCUUGCCGUCACUGGCCACCGCCGCUGCUGCCUCACCCCGCCCCCGCCUCAGGCCCGCGCGCCCCCACUCGCUGCUCCCUUCUGCUGUUGCCGCGGUUGCCGUCGUCGCGCGCCGUGUUGGCCCCCCUGCUCGCCGUCCGUGCCCGCGCCGCCCGCUCGCCGGUCAUCGCCCGCCCUGGCCGGAGCCGUCCCCAUCCGCGUGCGCCCUGCUGCGCUUGACGCUGUCCCGCGACCGUGGCCGGAGCUCCAUGUACGCGCAGAAACUGCUGCUGAUGCGUUACUGCGGCGCUGCUCCUACUGCCGCUCGUGGCUGCCCCGGGAGCCGCCUUCGCCAGCCGCGUGUUGCUCCGUCGACAGCCCCGCUGCUGCACUCAGCCGCUGCCUUCGGCUGCUGCUGCCGCUGCUCGUUGUUCCCUGCGACCGCCACUGCUGUUUUGAUGUUGCUGCAUGUGCCGUUGCUGCCUAGUGUUUGCUGA
rnacentral:rRNA from 1 species